rnacentral:misc_RNA from 1 species
UCCGGUUUAACACCGGCAGUCUCCUUAGAGUUCCCGGCAUGACCCGCUGGUAACUAAGGACAAGGGUUUCGCUCGUUAAGGGACUUAACCCGACAUCUCACGACACGAGCUGACGACAGCCAUGCAGCACCUGUGCAAAGGCUCCCUUGCGGGCACCCCUCGCUUUCACGAGGGUUCCUAAGCAUGUCAAGACCAGGAUAAGGUUCUUCGCGUAGCCUCGAAUUAAGCCACAUCCUCCACCGCUUGUGUGAGCCCCCGUCAAUUCCUUUGAGUUUCAGCCUUGCGGCCGUACUCCCCAGGCGGGGCACUUAAUGCGUUAGCGCCGGCACCCAGGGGGUCGCUCCCCCAGGCACCUAGUGCCCAUCGUUUACGGCGUGGACUAC